UUGAUUUGCAUAUUUACUUCUUACAUGAUCAGAAUAUAGGUAACUAUAUCAAAAUUAAUGUUGUCCCUUUAAAGGCAUCAUAUUAUCUAGUCUCUUCUUCUUUCUUUUUAGGGUUAGAUGUUGUUUAUUUGCAGAAGCAUUUGAGAAAGCAAUAAAGCAUGGUAAUUGUGUUCUUUUGAAAAGCUAUCACAAUGGAAAAACAUAUCAAUAGAUUUUUGGUGAAAACGUUGCUUAUAUUGACUUUGGAAUCUUAGGCAGCAUAUAUAUUAAUGAAGUGACGCACAACAGUGAAGCAAAGGAUCUUGCAUACCCUACUUGUAUCAUUGCAUAGAUUUAUUUUGUGGUAUGUCAAGUCGCAACAAUCUUUAAGACGAAAUAAAUGACAUUGGUUCUUGGCUCACGGGAUUGGAGGUCUUUGAGGAAGCUGAAAGCUUGCCGUCUAUUUGAAAAAGGAACAUUCAAAUGGCUGAAUCAGAGGACCAGUGAGACGGGUCAUCGGUUCGGCUGGAACCAACUCGAGUGCUGGCAGUUCCUUUUCCCCUUCCACCACCUCUGCUUGGCUUGCUGCUCCCUCC